UACAGAGGUCUCAAGCGUUGUUCGGAUUCAUUGGGCGUAAAGGGUGCGUAGGCGGCGCGGUAAGUCGGGUGUGAAAUCUCGGAGCUUAACUUCGAAACUGCAUUCGAUACUGCCGUGCUUGAGGACUGGAGAGGAGACUGGAAUUUACGGUGUAGCGGUGAAAUGCGUAGAUAUCAGGAGGAACACCGGUGGCGAAGGCGGGUCUCUGGGCCGAUACUGACGCUGAGGUGCGAAAGCGUGGGGAGCAAACAGG
rnacentral:rRNA from 1 species